ACAUGAGUUUGAGCAAGUGCCAGGAGUUGCUGAUGGACAGGGAAGCCUGGCGUGCUUCAGUCCAUGGGGUUGCAGAGUCAGACAUAACUGAGCAACUGAACUGAACUGAAUUGAACUCCCAGGCAACAGCUAGCAUCAACUUCUAGACAUGUGAGUGUGCAUCUUGGAAGCCCACCCCAGUCAAGCCUCCAGAUUGCUCCAGUCCCAGAAGAACCACACAGCUGAGCCUAGCCAAAUGCAAGAAUCACGAGAGAGCUACUGUUUGGGGUGAUUUUUCGUGCAGCAAUAGAUAACCCAACUACUGACUUGUACAAGCAGAUGGAGUAAGAGGAAGUGAGAUGAAGCUGGAGAAGUCAUCAGGAGUAGAUUAUGUGGAGCCUGCAUCACACGUGGAGAGAGCAAGGACUCAGGUACCAGAUACAUUAAUCCCAGUUCUCUACUUAUCUGCUGUGUUACCUCGGGAAAGUCACCUAACUUCUCUGGACUUCAGUUUUCCUCUGCUAUCAAACAGAGGCAAUACAAAGAAUGAUCAUAGUAAUUAAUUCUCCUUGUUUACUGAACAGUGCCUGGCACAUAGCAGGCACUCAAUCAAUAUUUGUUGAAUGAAUGAAUUUAGUGGGAUAGAAUUGAGGAGGUACAAAGAAGAAAUGAUCUUAUUUUUCUCCUCCUCCUGAAAAUUUCUUCUGUCAAAGGUGGUUUCCCUCUCUUGACUCCUGAUGAUAAUCAGGCAGAUCCAUGACUUCCUGGUCCCUUUGGGGCAAAAUAACAGUUUCAUUUUGGUAAUUAAAACUCACUUCCAGUCAUUAGAAAGUCCACUUUGACCCAGUGAAAUAAAAUAUUUUGAUUUCUCAUCCAGUUCAAAGCUCAAACAAAUCUCUCCUUCACUGAGUAUCUAGUAUGUACCAGACCCUGGGCUGGGGAUGAGUCGAGCUCCCAGGUACAACACAGGACUUGAAUUCCAGAUAAAUCAGCAAAUAAUCUGUUGGUAUAUGCAAGUCCAAAAUGAUUCUGUGGGAGAUAUUUAUAGUAAAAAUAAUUUGUUGUUUAUCUGAAAUUCAAAUGUAAUGGGACCUCCUGUAUUUUUAUUUGGUAAAUCAUAACACUGAAAUACCCUGGCCCUUGUCCCAUGAGAGCAUGAACUUUUCAUGCUUCUGCCAAGGACAGUUGACUCCAGGAGAGCAGACAGGUCCAGGAAGACCUUUUCCCACCUGCUGCCUUCAGCACAUUUGACAUUUUCUAUGUGGGGGGAACACUGACCAUCUGCAGGUGAGAUCUAGCAGCACUCCUUUGUCCAGUUGAUUGGCCCCACUGCUGAGGUUUCCCCUGUUACAGCUGCAGUCCUUUGAUCCUUGGAACCUUGUUUCUUUUCAGAUAGUUCAGGAAGUACAUUUGCCUCUGCAAGGGUUGGAGCCGCAUAAGCUAGCACAUUUUUUGACAUCCAGUUGGGAGGAGGACUUUCUGAGAACAGAAUUCAGUGGUGAUUUCCUGGAAAGGGGCGUAGUGCUGCCAGGGGGGAUGGCCUGAUGGGGGAGCGGGAGGGUCCCAAACUGGGGAUCCUGGGCCCACCUCCGGGCUGAGCAGGGCACCCCCAACCUGGAGCGGAGCCGGGGAGGCCACUGUCCACCUGGGUGGAGAAAGGGAAGCACGGAGAGGGCAGGGGCCAGGAAGGUGAUAGGGACAGGCUAAAGCAUAUGGGUUUGGGGCCAGACUCUGUCUUCUCAGGUCUCAGGGCCCCCAUCUUUAAAUUUUUUUGGCCAUGCUGUGCAGCACAUGGGAUCUUAGUUCCCGGGCCAGGGACAAAACCUGGACCCUCUGGACUGGAAGCACAGAGUCCUAACCACUGGAAGGGAGGUCCCUCAGGGCCCCUGUCUUAAGCUGGGUGGUCGGAGCAAAUGUUCUGGCCACCAGCCCUUCCUGCUCCAGGCUCCUUGCUCCUCCUAACUCUCCACGGCCACCUGACCUUUCUACUGCCUCCUGCAGAGUCCCCAGGACAGACGGCUUCUGCUAGGUGUCUGUGCCUGCCACCCUCCCCUCACUAUGGGCACUGGGAGCCUGGCAUCAAGUGGGCUGUGCGUGUCCAUGAGGGGGACAGGCUCUCUCCCAUUCACCCUCAGGCUCUGAGAAGCAGUAACUGGGUGCAGGGGAAGGCAAGGAAGUGAAGGACCCACUCUCCUGUUUUAGCCCCUCCUCUCUUUGGCCCCUGUAGGUAAUCACAGCCUUGUGGGGGUUCUGUAGUGUAAGUUACCUCCAGCUUUCUCUAUUGGCAGUUUAAGGUUCAAGGUUUUUGGCUGCCCCAAGUUAUAGCACUAAUCUGGUUUUUCUGCCUUCCAAAUUUUGUUACUGUUAUCUCUUCUUCUAUGCUAAUUAUCCUUGUGGUUUCACACCUUCAAAGAAAAAAAAAAUCCCUUUGCCUUUGUGUUAGUGGAGGGUCAGGAUGGAGCAGGGCUGUGUGUGUGCGCUCAAUCUGCCUUAUUUAGCCAGAACUCAUAGUGUCAUUUAAUCUUCACACCACCACCAAAGGGCCAGUAUUAUUGUUCUCAUUCUCAGAGGCUCGGAGAAGAGGUCCCCAGAACUCAUAAGUGGCAGGACCUGGUGUCACCCACAGCCUCUGUCUCCAACAUUCUUUACACCUCACACAGCUCUCCUGGAAGUGCUCAGAGAAGGCUGUGCCCUCCCCGCUGCCACCAGAAGCUGGCAUCUUAUGUGGCAAAACCCCCAGUUUGCCAGAAGGAUGCCAUGGAGUGAUCACAUCUUCCUCCAUCUAAACAUGUCCUCUGACCAUACCUUCUGGAGGAGCUGAGGGAUGGCUGUCUGUGGAAUCCUGCUGCAGCCUCACUUCCUACGCCAGCUCACCAGCAUACCAGAGACUGGUCACUGUGACACAGUCACAGAGAGGAUCUAGUUCAAGUAGCCUUCUGAGACUCUGCCGACCCUCCUCCCCUUCUCCUGGAUCCUCCCUUCUCAGGGGACUGAACAGUGACUUCCCCUGUACUCUCAACAUGAUAUGCUGUGGGGCGCCUCCAGUGCCUGCUGCCUUCCUGUCUGGUUCUCCAAAGACAAGCCUCCCUCUGCCCAAGAAAGAAACUGACAUGCCAAAGGCAUUUAAACAUCAGGGGAGGGUCUGCUGUCAGUGGCCUGGCCAGAGGCAGAAGGAUGUCAGAGUCCCACUGGUAACAGGCCUCAGGGAAGAAGCAAGAUUUACGAGGUGAGAGCCCGCCUGGGCCGCUUCUGUUGGAAAGGCCUCCCUGCAGUAUUUUCUGUCUCAUCAACGCUGCAUUUCAUUUUAAAUUGCAGCUGAAAGCGGAUAUUUUCCCUCUUGCCUAUUACACCUCUUAAUUUGUCUCUCCCUCUGCUGUUAUUUGUCUCUAUAAAGUGUUUUGCAUGAAAGACCCACACAGCAUAGUGUUUCUUUGCCUUGAGUUAGGUUUAAUAGAA